AACGAACGCUGGCGGCAGGCUUAACACAUGCAAGUCGAGCGAGACCUUCGGGUCUAGCGGCGGACGGGUGAGUAACGCGUGGGAACGUGCCCUUCUCUACGGAAUAGCCCCGGGAAACUGGGAGUAAUACCGUAUACGCCCUUUGGGGGAAAGAUUUAUCGGAGAAGGAUCGGCCCGCGUUGGAUUAGGUAGUUGGCGGGGUAAUGGCCCACCAAGCCGACGAUCCAUAGCUGGUUUGAGAGGAUGAUCAGCCACACUGGGACUGAGACACGGCCCAGACUCCUACGGGAGGCAGCAGUGGGGAAUCUUAGACAAUGGGGGCAACCCUGAUCUAGCCAUGCCGCGUGAGUGAUGAAGGCCUUAGGGUUGUAAAGCUCUUUCAGCUGGGAAGAUAAUGACGGUACCAGCAGAAGAAGCCCCGGCUAACUCCGUG
rnacentral:rRNA from 1 species